rnacentral:rRNA from 1 species
UACGGAGGGUGCAAGCGUUGUUCGGAAUCACUGGGCGUAAAGGGCGUGUAGGCGGUCUAUCAAGUCUGGUGUGAAAUCCCCUCGCUCAACGAGGGAACUGCGCCGGAAACUGACAGACUAGAGUACCGGAGAGGAAGGUGGAAUUCCCGGUGUAGCGGUGAAAUGCGUAGAUAUCUGGAGGAACACCGGUGGCGAAGGCGGCAUCCUGGACCGGCAUUGACGCUGAGGCGCGAAAGCCAGGGGAGCAAACGGG